CUUUAAAAAAAAUUGAAAUUUGAAUGAAACUAAUAACGAUGAUUUCAAAAUAACCACAAAUCUUUUCACGAUUUUCCUGGAAAAUCUCGCCUCAACACUUCUUUAUCGGUUGACAGUUACUACCCCAUUGCUUCCGGCGGACCAAUGUGGUCAAGUCCUUGUACCCCUGCCUUCACGGAAGCACCAAUGCAGUGUAAACACGUCACAGUCAGAGCUGAUCCCACUGACGACACAGCUGAGCAGUCCAUUGUCGCUAAUCAAAUUUUCUAGUGGUGUAUAGCAAAGGUGACCGGCUCAAGUCAAUGGAAACUCUUGGAUGCAGUGAGAAGCGUAACCCAUAAAACAUCAAAUUUUGGGGACUACGAAAUGAGAGCCAGAAGUGUGUAAACUUUUCUCCAGGAUCCAGAGUUCUUGUGUGUCAAGGGGCAAAUAAAUUUCA
rnacentral:lncRNA from 1 species